GAUACAAGCGAGCGGCGGACGGGUGAGUAACACGUGGGUAACCUGCCCAAGAGACUGGGAUAACACCUGGAAACAGAUGCUAAUACCGGAUAACAACACUAGACGCAUGUCUAGAGUUUAAAAGAUGGUUCUGCUAUCACUCUUGGAUGGACCUGCGGUGCAUUAGCUAGUUGGUAAGGUAACGGCUUACCAAGGCAAUGAUGCAUAGCCGAGUUGAGAGACUGAUCGGCCACAUUGGGACUGAGACACGGCCCAAACUCCUACGGGAGGCAGCAGUAGGGAAUCUUCCACAAUGGACGCAAGUCUGAUGGAGCAACGCCGCGUGAGUGAAGAAGGGUUUCGGCUCGUAAAGCUCUGUUGGUAGUGAAGAAAGAUAGAGGUAGUAACUGGCCUUUAUUUGACGGUAAUUACUUAGAAAGUCACGGCUAACUACGUGCCAGCAGCCGCGGUAAUACGUAGGUGGCAAGCGUUGUCCGGAUUUAUUGGGCGUAAAGCGAGUGCAGGCGGUUCAAUAAGUCUGAUGUGAAAGCCUUCGGCUCAACCGGAGAAUUGCAUCAGAAACUGUUGAACUUGAGUGCAGAAGAGGAGAGUGGAACUCCAUGUGUAGCGGUGGAAUGCGUAGAUAUAUGGAAGAACACCAGUGGCGAAGG
rnacentral:rRNA from 1 species